GCAUGGAUUUGGAUUUAUGGCAGGCUCGUUCCCCCUGAGCCUCUCAUAGUGUCCCAUGCUAGAACAAACUCUGGCUCCUAACCAUUGCCCGGCGUCCGUGCCUGUGAGCUGCUGGCACUGAAGUGGGUCACACAGUG